UACAGAGGUGGCAAGCGUUGUUCGGAAUUACUGGGCGUAAAGGGCGCGUAGGCGGCCUUCUAAGUCAGACGUGAAAUCCCCAGGCUUAACUUGGGAACUGCGUCUGAUACUGGGAGGCUUGAAUGCGGGAGAGGGAUGUGGAAUUCCAGGUGUAGCGGUGAAAUGCGUAGAUAUCUGGAGGAACAUCGGUGGCGAAGGCGGCAUCCUGGACCGACAUUGACGCUGAGGCGCGAAAGCCAGGGGAGCAAACGGG
rnacentral:rRNA from 1 species